GACAGAGGGUGCGAACGUUGUUCGGAAUUACUGGGCGUAAAGCGCAUGUAGGCGGCAGCGCAAGUCGGGCGUGAAAUCCCACGGCUCAACCGUGGAAGUGCACUCGAAACUGCGCAGCUAGAGUCCUGGAGAGGAAGGUGGAAUGCUUGGUGUAGAGGUGAAAUUCGUAGAUAUCAAGCGGAACACCGGUGGCGAAGGCGGCUCACUGGCCCGAUACUGACGCUGAGACGCGAAAGCGUGGGGAGCAAACAGG
rnacentral:rRNA from 1 species